AUUGAACGCUGGCGGCAGGCCUAACACAUGCAAGUCGAACGAGUGGCGGACGGGUGAGUAAUGUCUGGGAAACUGCCUGCUGUAGGGGGAUAACUACUGGAAACGGUAGCUAAUCCCGCAUACCAUCGGAUGUGCCCAGAUGGGAUUAGCUAGUAGGUGGGGUAAAGGCUCACCUAGGCGACGAUCCCUAGCUGGUCUGAGAGGAUGACCAGCGACAAUGGAAAUGAGAAACGGUCCAGACUCCUACGGGAGGCAGCAGGGGGGAAUAGUGCACAAUGGGCGAAAGCCUGAUGCAGCCAUGCCGCGUGUAUGAAGAAGGCCUUCGGGUUGUAAAGUACUUUCAGCGGGGAGGCGUUACCCGCAGAAGAAGCACCGGCUAACUACGUGCCAGCAGCCGCGGUAAUUC
rnacentral:rRNA from 1 species